CCAUGCAGCCGGGGAAGCAGCGGCUCCCUGUACCUGAAAUCCGCUAUAGCAGGGGUGAUGUUCUGUCUCGGGCUGUAUGCAUUGCGGCUGCCCGGUUUAAGCAGCGUUGAAGCUUGGGUCUUGCGCAAUAGGAAUCUGUGAACCAUGUCAGGUCGGGAACGAAGCAGCAUUAAACGGAAGCUCCUAUGUGCCGUAAGGUCGCCUGAGCCGAGCCGGCUGAAUCGGUAACGCGCAGUGUGUCGGUUCAAAGCAGAACGCAUGG
rnacentral:SRP_RNA from 1 species